rnacentral:rRNA from 1 species
UACGGAGGGGACUAGCGUUGUUCGGAAUUACUGGGCGUAAAGCGCACGUAGGCGGAUUUGUAAGUCAGGGGUGAAAUCCCGGGGCUCAACCUCGGAUCUGCCUUUGAUACUGCAAAUCUCGAGUCCGGAAGAGGUGAGUGGAAUUCCUAGUGUAGAGGUGAAAUUCGUAGAUAUUAGGAAGAACACCAGUGGCGAAGGCGGCUCACUGGUCCGGUACUGACGCUGAGGUGCGAAAGGCGUGGGGAGCAAACAGG